rnacentral:rRNA from 1 species
GGAUUAGAUACCCUGGUAGUCCACGCCCUAAACGAUGUCAACUAGUUGUUGGGGAUUCAUUUCCUUAGUAACGUAGCUAACGCGUGAAGUUGACCGCCUGGGGAGUACGGUCGCAAGAUUAAAACUCAAAGGAAUUGACGGGGACCCGCACAAGCGGUGGAUGAUGUGGAUUAAUUCGAUGCAACGCGAAAAACCUUACCUACCCUUGACAUGCCACUAACGAAGCAGAGAUGCAUUAGGUGCUCGAAAGAGAAAGUGGACACAGGUGCUGCAUGGCUGUCGUCAGCUCGUGCCG